UAGGGCUAGGGCAUCAACAAGAAAAUUGUGCCAAACCUCCAACAAGUCCUACGUCAAGCAGUGAACUGAUCGGCGUAAAUGAUCAAGUGGAAUGUAGCCGGACGAAUAAAAUUAAUGAAACUUGUUUAAACACCGGAGAACCCCAUUUUCCAGACCAGAUCAUCGAUCCAGAGGUG